rnacentral:rRNA from 1 species
AUUGAACGCUGGCGGCAUGCUUUACACAUGCAAGUCGAACGGCAGCGCGGGGCAACCUGGCGGCGAGUGGCGAACGGGUGCGUAAUACAUCGGAACGUACCCAGAAGCGGGGGAUAACGUAGCGAAAGUUACGCUAAUACCGCAUACGUUCUACGGACGAACGUGGGGGACCUUCGGGCCUCAUGCUUUUGGAGCGGCCGAUGUCUGAUUAGCUAGUUGGUGAGGUAAAGGCUCACCAAGGCGACGAUCAGUAGCUGGUCUGAGAGGACGACCAGCCACACUGGGACUGAGACACGGCCCAGACUCCUACGGGAGGCAGCAGUGGGGAAUAUUGGACAAUGGGCGCAAGCCUGAUCCAGCAAUGCCGCGUGAGUGAAGAAGGCCUUCGGGUUGUAAAGCUCUUUUGUCAGGGAAGAAACGGCUGAGGAUAAUACCUUCGGCUAAUGACGGUACCUGAAGAAUAAGCACCGGCUAACUACGUG